rnacentral:rRNA from 1 species
GACGAACGCUGGCGGCGUGCUUAACACAUGCAAGUCGAACGGAAAGGCCCUGCUUUUGUGGGGUGCUCGAGUGGCGAACGGGUGAGUAACACGUGAGUAACCUGCCCUUGACUUUGGGAUAACUUCAGGAAACUGGGGCUAAUACCGGAUAGGAGCUCCUGCUGCAUGGGGGGGGUUGGAAAGUUUCGGCGGUUGGGGAUGGACUCGCGGCUUAUCAGCUUGUUGGUGGGGUAGUGGCUUACCAAGGCUUUGACGGGUAGCCGGCCUGAGAGGGUGACCGGCCACAUUGGGACUGAGAUACGGCCCAGACUCCUACGGGAGGCAGCAGGGGGGAAUAAUGCACAAUGGGCGGAAGCCUGAUGCAGCAACGCCGCGUGCGGGAUAACGGCCUUCGGGUUGGAAACCGCUUUCGCCUGUGACGAAGCGUGAGUGACGGUAAUGGGUAAAGAAGCACCGGCUAACUACGUG